rnacentral:rRNA from 1 species
CACGUAGGGGGCGAGCGUUGUCCGGAUUUAUUGGGCGUAAAGAGCUCGUAGGCGGCUCGGUAAGUCAGGUGUGAAAACUCUAGGCUCAACCUAGAGACGCCACCUGAUACUGCUGUGGCUAGAGUCCGGUAGGGGAGCAUGGAAUUCCUGGUGUAGCGGUGAAAUGCGCAGAUAUCAGGAGGAACACCAACGGCGAAGGCAGCUCGCUGGGACGGUACUGACACUGGAGGCGCGAAGGCGUGGGGAGCGAACAGG